AUCAUUCUCAUCCAUCGUGAUCAACGUCAAAGUCAAUGUUAUAAUUGUAUUUUUCAUGGGUGUUGUGCUGUUUGAUUUUAAAGAGUGAAUUAUCAUUGGCAAUCAUAGCCAUGGAUGCCAUCUGUAACCAGCUUUCCAUUGUAUAUCUACCCGAAGACAUUAUUGAUCCACAUAUAACCUCCACCGUUUGGUGAUGCUAAUAAUGUACCAACUUCCGAUGCCAUCGGCAUUAUCGAAUCAGGACCAUUUUU